rnacentral:rRNA from 1 species
UAGGGAAUCUUCCACAAUGGACGAAAGUCUGAUGGAGCAACGCCGCGUGAGUGAAGAAGGGUUUCGGCUCGUAAAACUCUGUUGUUAAAGAAGAACAUAUCUGAGAGUAACUGUUCAGGUAUUGACGGUAUUUAACCAGAAAGCCACGGCUAACUACGUGUCAC